rnacentral:misc_RNA from 1 species
UUAAGUUCAGCGGGUAGUCCUACUCGAUUUGAGGUCAAGUUGUCAGAGAGUGUCCGAAGACGGUUCGAAGCACAGAGCUCCCGAUCGGCCACCCUCGAGUGAGGCGCCGGCGAAGAUACUUAUCACGCCGUACUAUGUCCAACCGAGAGUUGCACUACUCCAUUUGAGGCGAGCCACAGCAAAGCAGCAACACCCAAGUC